rnacentral:rRNA from 1 species
GAUGAACGCUGGCGGCGUGCUUAACACAUGCAAGUCGAGCGAGUGAGUUCUUCGGAACGAUCUAGCGGCGGACGGGUGAGUAACACGUGGGCAACCUGCCUCAUAGAGGGGAAUAGCCUCCCGAAAGGGAGAUUAAUACCGCAUAAAAUUAUCGAGUGGCAUCACAUGAUAAUCAAAGGAGUAAUCCGCUAUGAGAUGGGCCCGCGGCGCAUUAGCUAGUUGGUGAGGUAACGGCUCACCAGGGCGACGAUGCGUAGCCGACCUGAGAGGGUGAUCGGCCACAUUGGGACUGAGACACGGCCCAGACUCCUACGGGAGGCAGCAGUGGGGAAUAUUGCACAAUGGGGGAAACCCUGAUGCAGCAACGCCGCGUGAGUGAUGAAGGUCUUCGGAUUGUAAAGCUCUGUCUUUGGGGACGAUAAUGACAGUACCCAAGGAGGAAGCCACGGCUAACUACGUGCCAGCAGCCGCGGUAA